GAUGAAGAACGUAGCGAAAUGCGAUACGUAAUGUGAAUUGCAAAUUCAGUGAAUCAUCGAGUCUUUGAACGCACAUUGCGCCCCCUGGUAUUCCGGGGGGCAUGCCUGUCCGAGCGUCAUUGCUGCCCUCAAGCACGGCUUGUGUGUUGGGCCCCGUCCUCCGAUCCCGGGGGACGGGCCCGAAAGGCAGCGGCGGCACCGCGUCCGGUCCUCGAGCGUAUGGGGCUUUGUCACCCGCUCUGUAGGCCCGGCCGGCGCUUGCCGAUCAACCCAAAUUUUUAUCCAGGUUGACCUCGGAUCAGGUAGGGAUACCCGCUGAACUUAAGCAUAUCAAUAAGCGGGGGA
rnacentral:misc_RNA from 1 species